rnacentral:piRNA from 1 species
GUUUGUAGAAAUUUUAGGUCUUGGCAGA